AGAGUUUGAUCCUGGCUCAGAACGAACGCUGGCGGCGUGCCUAAUACAUGCAAGUCGAGCGCGGGAAGCGAGCGGAUCCCUUCGGGGUGAAGCUCGUGGAAUGAGCGGCGGACGGGUGAGUAACACGUGGGCAACCUGCCUGUAAGACCGGAAUAACCCCGGGAAACCGGGGCUAAUGCCGGGUAAUACUUUUCUUCGCAUGAAGGAAAGUUGAAAGAUGGCUUCUCGCUAUCACUUACAGAUGGGCCCGCGGCGCAUUAGCUAGUUGGUGAGGUAACGGCUCACCAAGGCGACGAUGCGUAGCCGACCUGAGAGGGUGAUCGGCCACACUGGGACUGAGACACGGCCCAGACUCCUACGGGAGGCAGCAGUAGGGAAUCUUCCGCAAUGGACGAAAGUCUGACGGAGCAACGCCGCGUGAACGAUGAAGGUCUUCGGAUCGUAAAGUUCUGUUGUUAGGGAAGAACAAGUACCGUGCGAAUAGAGCGGUACCUUGACGGUACCUAACGAGGAAGCCCCGGCUAACUACGUGCCAGCAGCCGCGGUAAUACGUAGGGGGCAAGCGUUGUCCGGAAUUAUUGGGCGUAAAGCGCGCGCAGGCGGUUCCUUAAGUCUGAUGUGAAAGCCCACGGCUCAACCGUGGAGGGUCAUUGGAAACUGGGGAACUUGAGGACAGAAGAGGAGAGUGGAAUUCCACGUGUAGCGGUGAAAUGCGUAGAUAUGUGGAGGAACACCAGUGGCGAAGGCGACUCUCUGGUCUGUUUCUGACGCUGAGGUGCGAAAGCGUGGGUAGCAAACAGGAUUAGAUACCCUGGU
rnacentral:rRNA from 1 species